UAGUACCUUACUACUUGGAUAACCGUGGUAAUUCUAGAGCUAAUACAUGCUGCAAAGCCCGACUUCGGAAGGGUUGUAUUUAUUAGAUUAAAAACCAAUGCCCUCCGGGGCUCACUGGUGAUUCAUGAUAACUUCUCGAAUCGCACGGCCUUGCGCCGGCGAUGGUUCAUUCAAAUUUCUGCCCUAUCAACUUUCGACGGCUGGGUCUUGGCCAGCCGUGGUGACAACGGGUAACGGAGGGUUAGGGCUCGACCCCGGAGAAGGAGCCUGAGAAACGGCUACUACAUCCAAGGAAGGCAGCAGGCGCGCAAAUUACCCAAUCCCGACACGGGGAGGUAGUGACAAUAAAUACUGAUACAGGGCUCUUUUGGGUCUUGUAAUUGGAAUGAGUACAAUUUAAUUCCCUUAACGAGGAACAAUUGGAGGGCAAGUCUGGUGCCAGCAGCCGCGGUAAUUCCAGCUCCAAUAGCGUAUAUUAAAGUUGUUGCAGUUAAAAAGCUCGUAGUUGAACCUUGGGCCUGGCUGGCCGGUCCGCCUCACCGCGUGCACUGGUCCGGCCGGGCCUUUCCCUCUGGGGAGCCGCAUGCCCUUCACUGGGCGUGCCGGGGAACCAGGACGUUUACUUUGAAAAAAUUAGAGUGUUCAAAGCAGGCUUAUGCUCGGAUACAUUAGCAUGGAAUAAUGGAAUAGGACGCGUGGUUCUAUUUUGUUGGUUUCUAGGACCGCCGUAAUGAUUAAUAGGGACAGUCGGGGGCAUCAGUAUUCAGCUGUCAGAGGUGAAAUUCUUGGAUUUGCUGAAGACUAACUACUGCGAAAGCAUUUGCCAAGGAUGUUUUCAUUAAUCAGGAACGAAAGUUAGGGGAUCGAAGACGAUCAGAUACCGUCGUAGUCUUAACCAUAAACUAUGCCGACUAGGGAUCGGACGGUGUUAU
rnacentral:rRNA from 2 species